GAUGAACGCUAGCGGGAGGCUUAACACAUGCAAGCCGAGGGGUAUAGUUCUUUCGGUAACUAGAGACCGGCGCACGGGUGCGUAACGCGUAUGCAACUUGCCCUACUGAAAAGGAUAGCCCUUCGAAAGGAGGAUUAAUACUUUAUAACAGAUUUAAUGGCAUCAUUAGAUUUUGAAAGAUUUAUCGCAGUAGGAUAGGCAUGCGUAAGAUUAGUUAGUUGGUGAGGUAACGGCUCACCAAGACGAUGAUCUUUAGGGGGCCUGAGAGGGUGAACCCCCACACUGGUACUGAGACACGGACCAGACUCCUACGGGAGGCAGCAGUGAGGAAUAUUGGACAAUGGGUGGAAGCCUGAUCCAGCCAUCCCGCGUGUAGGAUGACGGCCUUAUGGGUUGUAAACUACUUUUAUCUGGGGAUAAACCUACUUACGUGUAAGUAGCUGAAGGUACCAGAAGAAUAAGCACCGGCUAACUCCGUG
rnacentral:rRNA from 1 species